AUCUAUUUUAUAUUUAUAUAUAAGGAUAUAAGGGGCGGAUGUAGCC
rnacentral:tRNA from 1 species